AUGGCCGGAAGCCCGCCGCCGCCCGACGCCUUCGCCUUCUCUUCUGACGGAGAGCUCUUCGCGGCCGUCUCCAAUCGGCGAAUCCAGGUAUGGAGUACAAGAGGAGGACAAAAGAAAGCAGGAUGGACUGAUCCAAUAGCAGCCCAAGAUGAUUCAUACAGUUGCAUUGCCUGCAGCUCUGUUCAGAAGAAGCACAAAAAGGAUGGCGACCUUAUUGUUGUUGCUGUUGGCACUGCAAAUGGUGUAGUUUUAGCUCUUGAUUCUACUGGUGUUAUAUGGAAAAGUGCUUGUCACACUGGGAAGGUCAUUUCUCUUCACUUUUCGAAACAAGGGCGUGUUCUUAUUACUGCUAGCAGGGAUGGAGUUAUAUGUGAAUUGGAUACUUGGACUGGAAAAUCCAAAAACACAUUAAAAGCUUCGAAAAAGUCAAUUAAUUCUUUGACACUUUCUCAUGAUGAGAAGUUUAUGGUUGUCUCAGGUAAGACAACAAAAUUAUAUAGUAUGAAGGACAAAAAAGAGAUUCUGAAGAUUCAUUCUGAUGAUGGCCCUAUCCAGCUGAUGUCUGUGUCCGAUGAAGCACACGCAUUAGUUUCUUAUACUGACAAUAAUAAAGAAGUCAAAGUCUGGUCUUGUGAUCACCAAAAUUGCACUGUCAUUUCUACAGUCUCCCUUGCCAUGCAUACUCAGCCAAAGACAGUAGAGUGUAAAAGGAGCACAUCAUAUGAAGCCGGGGGAAUUGUUCUUGCAGUAUCAAAGAAAGGUGUGGCUUAUGUGUGGGAUUUGCAGACCCUUUCCCAAGAUCAAGUACUGCCCACCAAAAUCUCAGUAAAAAAAUCACUUGAUAAAAAGGGCCGUGUGUCAAUUAUUUUAGCUAGGUUAUGUGAUGCCGAAGAAGACAACAUAAUUAAGGUUCAUGUUGUGUUUGGAUCACUAGACUGUUUACAGUUCAAGAUUGUUGUAUUGGGUGAGAAUUGUGAGGACAUCAACUUGGUUGCGGAAUCUGAUGCAUUAGCUUCAGAAGAGCAAGAUGCAAAAGUAAAUAACAAGAUGGAUGAUGAACAAGAUCGACAGGAGAAUACAAACCUCACUCGUCAAGGAAGACCAAACAAAAGGACAGCAUCUGUUUUGGAUUCUAUCACUGACACAGUCAAGGAGGGGAAUCCAGAGUAUAAUCUAGAUGAACCAACUAUGGAGCAGAAACUCGAGAGUCUAAAUUUGCUCAAUAAGUCUGAAUUCCUUGAAGAGCAAUCAGCCUCUCUGGCGCCGCCGAGUGCGGAUUCAGUCUAUAUUUUGCUGAAGCAAGCUUUGCGUGCUGAUGAUCACGCUGAAUUGUUGAAAUGCAUGUACAAUAGAGAUGAAAAGGUCAUUGUAAAGUCAGUAUCACUCCUAACACCAGGAGAUGCUCUGAAGCUUCUCAAGUUCUUCGUGUCGUCAAUACAAUCUAGGGGUGCAAAGCUGGUUUGUUUGCUCCCGUGGCUUCAAACUUUACUUAGCCGGCACAUGAGCAGCAUCGUGUCGCAGGAGUCUUCUCUGCUGUUGCUCAAUUCACUCUAUCAGCUUAUUGAUGCAAGAACGUCGACCUUCAAAUCAGCACUUCAACUCUCUACUACCCUUGAUUACCGUUUCAGUGAGAUUGCUGAUGAAGAAACUGACGAGGAAGAGGCGGCCGCACCGAUUAUCUACGAGGACAAGGACACAGAGGACGAAGAAUCUGACAUCGAUGCUAUGGAAACCGAUGGGGAGAGUGAAGAGCUCGGCGAUUCAGAUGGAAGUGAGAGAGUAUUAUGA
rnacentral:rRNA from 1 species